GAUGAAGAACGUAGCGAAAUGCGAUAAGUAGUGUGAAUUGCAGAAUUCAGUGAAUCAUCGAAUCUUUGAACGCACAUUGCGCCCCUUGGUAUUCCAUGGGGCAUGCCUGUUCGAGCGUCAUUUGUACCUUCAAGCUUUGCUUGGUGUUGGGUGUUUGUCCCUCGGGACUCGCCUUAAAGUCAUUGGCAGCCAGUGUUUUGGUUUUGAAGCGCAGCACAAGUCGCGAUUCAAGGCUAUCCGCACGCUUCCACAAGCCUUUUUCACUUUUGACCUCGGAUCAGGUAGGGAUACCCGCUGAACUUAAGCAUAUCAAUAAGCGGAGGA
rnacentral:misc_RNA from 1 species